UUUAAAUUUAUGUCAUGAGCAUUUGCAAUCCGUAACUUCCUUUACCAAAUUUUGCAGUCCUUCAACAAUCAAAAUGCCCACGAAAAUUGCACGUAUUUUGCCAACAGCCCCAGCGCGUUAAACACUGCGUCAUUAUGCCGCACUAAGGGAGAGAGGGAGAAUAAACCCCACUUUACAAAGGAAGGAAACCAAAUCCUAGAAGAAAUGAUUCAGCUUAUACAAUGUCACACACACACAAGUGUCAGAGGGAGGAAGAGAUCACAGCUUGCCCAAGUCCUCUUGCAGCAAUAUGCAGAAAACCAUAAUGGAGCAAUUAGCCACGUACAGCAGCACCACCAUCCCCAUGCACAAAAUCGCUCCUGUCCUACGCCAUGUCCCCUUCUUAGCCUUGUUUCUUGCCAGUCCCACAGAUUUACCUGCUGACAGUAACCUCAAUUCCUGAGUAAUGAGAUUUACAGCUGAAGUUUAACAUUGAAAUAACUCCUCUUUUAUCUCUGUCUCCUUACCCUCCCUGCAGUUAGAUGCAAUUAAACUAGCGCUGUGGCAGAAAGAUGGUAGCAAAAGAAAUCAAACCAAAUGCAUCCCAGCGCUGCACACAGAUACUCAAAAAGUACGUAUAUGCCCAAGCAGGUGUACUGGCUGCCAGUUUCACCUCGAAUCAAAGGACUGGGAAAUGUGACAGAAUGCCAGGUUGGAAGAGACAACAGCUUUGCAAAUUAACUGGGUCCUUCCCCCCACAAGAACUAUGCAAAGGGUUGUCUGUACAGAGACAGACUCAACCCACCCAUCUUCUAUGCCACAGAGCACUGUUUCUUAGUCCAUCUCCUGGCUAUACAGAUUUACCUCUAUGACUGCCUUGUUCCUAUCUUUGUAUGUAUUUAUGCCUGUCUGUUUUGCUGCAGGGACCAUCGUUGUUGCUGCUAUCCUGUCAUUCCCCUGCUCUGCAGAACUGGCGCUGCAGGAGGCAAGGAUGCUCCAAGGGAGCCAGCUAAAGCCAGCGAAGGCUCAAGGACAGGCUACGCUGAAGGAAUGGAGACGGCGGACGCAGCAUGUUUGAGCCGGUUCUGAACCCAGCAGUUGUUGCUAAACAACCGGACCCGAUGCCUGGGAGGUCAGCGAACCUUUACAGACCCAUCACUCAAGACUGUCUUCAGCUCUCCCUGAUGUUACCGAGCCUGUGGCAAACUCACACUUGGGCAAACAAAAGCUGAGUUUGGGCAAGAGCCUUCUUCGCUUUGCUUUUUCCCAUGACAUAACUUCCAGGCGCAAUCCCUGCCCUGAGCAGUUUACAGUCCUGCUCACACUAAACCACCUUAAAAGGGAGAAGGAAGAAAGCAAGCACGGAGAAAAGCCCCAAACCCCAGGACUUUCCCCUUCCCCGUGGUUUGCAGCUCUGACACGUCAUCAUCGCAACCAUGGCAAAAUGAAACCUCACCAGCACCCGCAAAAGAGACACCCAUGGGAGCAAGGACCAGCACCCACUGCACCGAGGAGGUAACUGCUGCUGUCCUGCCUGCUGCCCCUGCCUGUGGGACACCCAGGAUCCCAGCAGGAGCGGGCAGGGGCUGCCGGCACUUUGAAGCAAGUGAAAUCAACGUUGAGAUUUGACACCCAGUUCUCGACCAAUCAGAGAGAGCUUUUCACCUGCCAUCACCUCCUCCACCAAUCGGACGGCGCUUUUGGGCUGAGAGCCCUCCCCGGCCAAUGGGGAGCCAGCUCUGCCACUUAGUUAAUGAUGCAGCAGUACAGGGAAGACUAUCACAUGUGAGCUGGAAGGCUGCCAACAUGGAGACACGGAGAGAGCAAGGUAAACAACUUUCCAACGCCAAAAUGAUGACAUUUAAUCCCUAAACGCUAGCUUCCCGUCUCGACUCAUCUUUAACCCCUUUCAGCUGGUGUGGAAGCGUCUGGAAGGCACCGUCUACCUGUUCCCCAGUGCUUUUAAAACUGGACGACAUGCCCUGCAAUGAUCACUGCGUCACCGUUUACCACUUUGCAAACUACGCAGUGGCAAACCUCCGAGCUCUGAAACGCAGAGCGCCUGUUAACCCCUCCACCAAAGCCCUGCCAACGUGCCAGCCUUUACAGAGC